rnacentral:rRNA from 1 species
UACCAGCACCCCGAGUGGUCGGGACGUUUAUUGGGCCUAAAGCAUCCGUAGCCGGUUCUGCAAGUCUUCCGUUAAAUCCACCUGCUUAACAGAUGGGCCGCGGAAGAUACUAUAGAGCUAGGAGGCGGGAGAGGCAAGCGGUACUCGAUGGGUAGGGGUAAAAUCCGUUGAUCCAUUGAAGACCACCAGUGGCGAAGGCGGCUUGCCAGAACGCGCUCGACGGUGAGGGAUGAAGGCUGGGGGAGCAAACCGG